AUUUUUAGCAGCAAUUAAUUGCUUGGUGUGUUUUUGUUAUGGACCAAUCUCAGAGCAUGAAAUACCGCCAGCCCAAAGAACAAGCCCAGACCAAAUAUAACCAGACGAUGGACAAGUCCAAAUCUUUCAAUGAAGCAAUACAAGAGGGUGGUCAGCAAAUGAAGGCCAAGCCACAAGAGCCAGCAGAUGCUGCGAAGAUCAAUGUUGGGACUCACAAAUGAAUCUACAUAGAUCUCUUUCUGUAUUUCUAUUUAUUAUUUGUUCUCAUAUUUAUUUCAUUUUCAUUUUGGGAUUUUUUUUUUUUUUUUUUUGACCCUAAGAGCUAGCUGUUGAUUUAAUGGAGUUCAUCACUUGAUCCAUAAAUUUUCAGCAGUAAUGAAAUAUUUUUAAGCAAUUUUUCUUUUGUUCUUUCUAUAAUUCAACUUUGCCAUCGAUCAUUGUCCAAUUAAUUAUGAAUGUUUUUUGACUUGACAAAUUUCACAAACAGCCAAUCUAAUUUGAUAAUCUUAAUCUUGUUCUGUCUCUACAUAAUGUCUUA